CUGUCUGUGUUUCUACUGCCUGUGUUUCUACUGUCUGUGUUUCUACUGCCUGUGUUUCUACUGUCUGUGUUUCUACUGUCUGUGUUUCUACUGCCUGUGUUUCUACUGCCUGUGUUUCUACUGCCUGGGUUUCUACUGCCUGUGUUUCUACUGCCUGUGUUUCUACUGCCUGGGUUUCUACUGUCUGGGUUUCUACUGUCUGUGUUUCUACUGCCUGAGUUUCUACUGCCUGGGUUUCUACUGUCUGUGUUUCUACUGUCUGGGUUUCUACUGUCUGGGUUUCUACUGUCUGGGUUUCUACUGUCUGUGUUUCUAUUGACAAUACUUUCCUGACAUUCUUAAGCCAAAACUGGAUAAUGUGAACGAGCAGUCCCAUGAGCAGAAACUGGAUUAAUGCAGCUACAUACCAGCUUGGACUGAGGACCUAGAGAGCAAACACUACUGUACCAGAGGUAGCAGGCUUCGGGGCUUUAGCAAUAUCUAUACUGAUAGAUAUAAUCACGUUUGCCUUCAAGACCCUGACCUCUCAAGAGAGCAUGGAAGACGUUCUGAACCGUGUGUUUGCAGAUGAGGCGUCCUCUGUGAGCGAUGUCAUGGAGGAAGGCCUGAAGACGAUGUCAUAGAGGAAGGCCUGAAGACGAUGUCGUGGAGGAAGGCCUGAAGACGAUGUCAUGGAGGAAGGCCUGAAGACGAUGUCAUAGAGGAAGGCCUGAAGACGAUGUCAUAGAGGAAGGCCUGAAGAUGAUGUCAUAGAGGAAGGCCUGAAGACGAUGUCAUGGAGGAAGGACUGAAGACGAUGUCAUGGAGGAAUGCCUGAACACGAUGUCAUGGAGGAAGGCCUGAACACGAUGUCAUGGAGGAAGGCCUGAAGAUGAUGUCAUGGAGGAAGGCCUGAAGACGAUGUCAUAGAGGAAGGCCUGAAGAUGAUGUCAUGGAGGAAGGCCUGAAGACGAUGUCAUGGAGGAAUGCCUGAACACGAUGUCAUGGAGGAAGGCCUGAACACGAUGUCAUGGAGGAAGGCCUGAAGACGAUGUCAUAGAGGAAGGCCUGAAGAUGAUGUCAUGGAGGAAGGCCUGAAGAGACGGAAGAUGAACAUGAUGUGGAAAAGAUGAAGAGAUGCAAACGUUGUGUUUCCAUUGACGCAACUGAAGAACUCCAUGCUGGAAGAUGGCCACAUGAAGACUCGUCCUCUCAAGAUCUGGAUCAACCAGAUCAUGGACAUGACCCCUUCCAUGUCCAGAUGCUGAUCCAGCUGGCUCGACUGGAGGUGGGGGCUGAUGGCUGCUCAGCGCAUGCAGCCAUCUCAACCUACCAGAACAACCUGAAAGAACUUCUCCUUAAAAGCUGACCGCAACCUGAAAUCGGGCACUAGGAUUACUUCAAAAAAAGAUGUAUAUGUUUACAUUACUUAUUUUAUAAAAUCCCUGCAGUUUUUUAAGUCAAAAGACUGAAAUCGACCUUUCUAGGACCAUGUAAAGGUCCUUUGUCGGAUAAACAUGUAUCUACCUCCCUCUGGUGGUCGGCUGCAUCAUUACAUCAAUGUGUAUCACUUCACUCCGACGUCACAUCAAAUUGGGGCAGUCCUUAGAAAAACAUUUAUCCAACUCGACUGCUUCACAGCACAGACAUGGCAAAGCAAUUGCUGAAUUUGUCUCGAGCAGUUGAAUCUAAAUAUAUAACUUUCAUAGCUCUACAAUAAAGAAUGCGACCUACACACUUCCUUAAACCUAAAAUAAAUAAAGAAGUAAUUAUGUGUGGAAGUAAAGAAAUGUUUUAUGUUGGAGGCAGACACAUUGCAUAUGCUACAGAACAACAAAAUGGAGCCCUUUACAUAGUCCUUCUCCCCUUGUCUAUAGGAGUAACACACGCUGUCUAAAUGGCCCAAAUGUUGAUUUAGACCCUUUACAUAGUCCUUCUCCCCUUGUCUAUAGCAGGGACACACGCUGUCUAAAUGGCCCAAAUGUUGAUUUAGACCCUUUACAUAGUCCUUCUCCCCUUGUCUAUAGCAGGGACACACACUGUCUAAAUGGCCCAAAUGUUGAUUUAGACCCUUUACAUAGCCCUUCUCCCCUUGUCUAUAGCAGGGACACACGCUGUCUAAAUGGCCCAAAUGUUGAUUUAGACCCUUUACAUAGUCCUUCUCCCCUUGUCUAUAGCAGGGACACACGCUGUCUAAAUGGCCCAAAUGUUGAUUUAGACCCUUUACAUAGUCC
rnacentral:lncRNA from 1 species